rnacentral:rRNA from 1 species
GAUGAACGCUGGCGGCGUGCCUAAUACAUGCAAGUCGAACGCAUAGCGAAAGGUGCUUGCACCUUUCAAGUGAGUGGCGAACGGGUGAGUAACACGUGGACAACCUGCCUCAAGGCUGGGGAUAACAUUUGGAAACAGAUGCUAAUACCGAAUAAAACUUAGUGUCGCAUGACACAAAGUUAAAAGCCGCUUCGGCGUCACCUAGAGAUGGAUCCGCGGUGCAUUAGUUAGUUGGUGGGGUAAAGGCCUACCAAGACAAUGAUGCAUAGCCGAGUUGAGAGACUGAUCGGCCACAUUGGGACUGAGACACGGCCCAAACUCCUACGGGAGGCUGCAGUAGGGAAUCUUCCACAAUGGGCGAAAGCCUGAUGGAGCAACGCCGCGUGUGUGAUGAAGGCUUUCGGGUCGUAAAGCACUGUUGUAUGGGAAGAACAGCUAGAAUAGGAAAUGAUUUUAGUUUGACGGUACCAUACCAGAAAGGGACGGCUAAAUACGUG